rnacentral:rRNA from 1 species
UACAGAGGGUGCGAGCGUUAAUCGGAAUUACUGGGCGUAAAGCGCGCGUAGGCGGCUUUGCAAGUCGGGUGUGAAAUCCCCAGGCUUAACCUGGGAACUGCAUUCGAGACUGCAUUGCUAGAGUAUGGGAGAGGGAAGUGGAAUUUCCGGUGUAGCGGUGAAAUGCGUAGAUAUCGGAAGGAACAUCAGUGGCGAAAGCGACUUCCUGGACCAAUACUGACGCUCAUGUGCGAAAGCGUGAGGAGCAAACAGG